rnacentral:lncRNA from 13 species
GGCCAAAAGGGUGAACAGGGCAGGCCAGGACUGGCUGGAAGGCGAGGAGCUAAGGUAUUGUCCAAUGGUUUUUUUAUCGCUUUUGAGGAUGAGGAUGAGGAUGAGGAUAAGGUAUGUUUGGGGGUUAUGAUAUAAUUUUAUGUAUCAUUGUGUUUCACUUGGCCUGAGAGAUGACAAAUAAGGAUAUCAUGGAAUAGGGAAUGAAUCAGCUAAAACAAACCAUGUGUUUGAACUGGUGUCUGUCUAUGUCUGCUGAUGACUUCCUGUAGUUUUUGGUGUAUGCAGCUGAAUGGUUGUGUAAGGAACAGAGACAGGAAGAACUGGUCAGGAGCAGAAGUUUUUCUUUAAUGUUUUGAGCAAUGUACCGAAGUAACAGUGGGUAAAUGUCAUUACACAUAUUGUUUUUAAUAAACAAACCUAUCUUUGUCCUCUGAUGAAGGGCAUGAAAGGAAACACUGGUCCACCUGGAGCUCGUGGUCGAAUGGAGUAUUAUGAUUAUGUGGUUGGUGAAAAAGGGGAUGAAGGACCCCCCGGACCUCCAGGACCAAAAGGUCAACAUGGCAUGCCUGGACCACAGGGUCCUCCUGGAGCUGCCGGUAGACCAGGUGUGUCAAGACCUGGUCUGAGAGGUCCCCCAGGAUUUCCUGGGCCAAAAGGAGCUAAAGGAGAGAAAGGACAAACUGGCUUGUGUAUUGUAGGCCCUCCAGGACUGCCUGGUAUUACUGGCAGGCCUGGUUCUAUUGGAUUACCAGGUCCUCCAGGAGAACCAGGUACUUCUAGUUGUAGGUGUUACGGAUUUUUCCAAGUAGCUCUCUCUUUUAAAUGAAUUGUUGAAUAUCUCAAGUUGGAAGGGACCCAUAAGGAUCAGAAUACUGUCUCCAGCUCAUCCCUGCAACUUUUUUCUCUCUUAGCAAGUGGAGAAUUGUGUUAAUAAUCUGCUGAUGUAAUGGUUUCAUGAUAAUUUCAUUAACAGGUAGAGUAAUAUUUGGAACUGGCCUACCAGGACUUCCUGGAGAGCCAGGGUGUACAGGACCUCCGGGACCUCCAGGAGAUACUGGCAUGAAAGGUCGGUUUCAAAUAACUGUCUCUCAGAAGUAGAUGGUACCAUCCAGUAAUCUUCAUGGAUCAUCAUUAUAUAUUUUUUUAAAUUUAAUUUACCUCAAGUCAUUUGCUGAGUUCAGAGUUUUAAGAACAUUCAUUAGGAAUUGCAAGAUGUCAUCCUCCCCUUACAUCAACUGAAAGAGUGCUGCAUGUGUCAGUGCAGUACACCAAUGGUACAGAACUGUGGCAGGGUGUAGACCUUCGCUGGAACAAACAGUUCCUACAGAUUGGUAGGGCCUGUACUCUCCUGUUGUUAUGUUCAUGCUGACAGUUGGUGUCUGAAAGAAGCUGCAACUUCCACCCACAGGAGCUGCUGAAUCUCUUUGCCCUUUGCUUGUCAUUAGAAUGACCCUGAGUGUUAUGGAGCUCUGUUAGUUUGAAGCGUAUGUCCCUUUCUUCUUUUGAGAGAAUUUGGCUUAUCAGUAGAGUGACUGUAUCCAAAUUGUUUGCUAAAAUUUGACUUGAAAAAAAUCAAGAGAUUUAAACCAAAUGUUUCUGUCCUUUCAAUUAACUGUAGUCAGUUCUGAUUGACUGACUGACCACGGAUAGUUUAUUACUGUGUUGGAAGUGAUCUUCCAACAAAAUUAAGGCCAUGAUUCUACCACUCUUGGCCAAAAGGUGUUAGCUAUAACAAACUAAGUAGCACAUUAGUUAAGCUUGAAAAUUACUUGCUGUGGAGCAACUCAUGAUUUAUUUUCAUUCUAGGUGAUGAUGCUCUUGUGUGUACUGAUUGCAGCUAUAUUUUGGGAAUACCUGGUCUUCCUGGUUCUCCUGGGCCUCGUGGUCAGGACGGCAUGCCUGGUAAAUUGUCUUGUUCGUAAUAGGAUAGUAGGAGUGUAAAUGAUUUUGCUUCUAGCAUGACAAUCAGGUGUGGGCAUGUGUGCAGCCUGCAGUCCUUGAACUAGCCCUGAGGUGAUGAUGAGUGUGAGAGCCUGGUGCAGUUCCCUCUGCUAAUACGAGCACAAGCCCUAAAGGACCUGAGCACAGAGUGCUGAUAGGCUUAGGUGCAGCCUAAAGCCAGCUCAGUCUAUGAUGAUGUAG